GUGUGUGUGUGUGUGUGUGUGUGUGUGUGUGGUGCACCUGUGGAGCCGCAGCUGUCCCCGCGGGCCGGCAGG
rnacentral:miRNA from 1 species